rnacentral:rRNA from 1 species
UACAGAGGUCUCGAGCGUUGUUCGGAUUCAUUGGGCGUAAAGGGUGCGUAGGUGGCUAGGUAAGUCGGAUGUGAAAUCCCGGGGCUCAACCCCGGAACUGCAUUCGAUACUGCCUGGCUAGAGUACUGGAGAGGAGAUUGGAAUUCCGCGUGUAGCAGUGAAAUGCGUAGAGAUCUGGAGGAACACCAGUGGCGAAGGCGGCUCACUGGUCCGGUACUGACGCUGAGGCACGAAA